UCUGCCUGGAGUAUGUAAUUACAGUA
rnacentral:piRNA from 1 species